UCAGUGGUGGAUAAAGCCAUAGCGGGUGGAGAUAAAUGGGUGUGGGGAGGGGAUAGGAGUGUGCAGAAGUGUAGUUUUGGAAGUAUGAUGUAAACAGGGAGAUUGUGAAGGGAGGAAAGGGAAGGACAAAAUACAGAAGAAAAGAUUUUAGUAAGUUCAGAGCUAUGAAUGGGGAGUGAAAAGGAAAUAACACGGGGGGUGGGCAAAGGUAACUACCCUUGUAGGAAAAGGAGUGAGAAAGUGGAAUGAAGGCAGUAAACUGAUUGACAAUGUUACAAUUAAAUACAGUGUGCAGCGUAGAACACGAUUUAUUACUGUAGAUUAAGUGGCAAGGCCAUGUAGGUAUUUUUCAUCCCAGUUGAUGGGUUUAAUCCUUGGGCCAAACAGUGUCAAGUCUUGGUGUUAUGCAUAAUGCCAUCACCAGCUAUUUUUCGUGUUUCUCCCAAUAUCCCUUACAAGGCUAGUAUGAAGCAGGCAAAUGCCAUUAACCCCCAUUUCAGAGAUGUCAGGUGGACUUGUCAGCAAUCUGGCAAGGAAUCGGGGACAAAAUUAAAUUUAGAAUUCAUAUUUCCAGACCUUGUAAUAUAACUAAAUUCUUUAGCAAUUCAAGUUACUUUACUCUCCUUUACCUCCCAGAAGUGAAUAAUAAUCGUAAGAGAUCUAGGGCUGGAUCCAUUUCACGCCGUGCCUGAGGCAGGAUCAUUCCUAUCCAAAGCAUCCUAUGCAGAUCCAUUGUCUAACCUUUUAGCAAAAUUAGAGUCAGCCCUGACACAACACAAGACCGCACCAACCUGCCACAGGAUCUGAAUCCAGAUGUGGCACAGCUCGGACACUGGUGUUAGAGGAUGCAAGGUCAACAACAGCCAUCAAGUGAUACCAGCCCUGCCAUCCCACUGGCUUUUUUCCUAAUCAUUAGAUAAGUAUUAUCAGUAAAGGGACAGCAGCUUCAUCCCAAUAAAAAAAAAA